AGCGAACGCUGGCGGCAGGCCUAACACAUGCCAGUCGAACGAACUCUUCGGAGUUAGUGGCGGACGGGUGAGUAACACGUGGGAACGUGCCUUUAGGUUCGGAAUAACUCAGGGAAACUUGUGCUAAUACCGAAUGUGCCCUUCGGGGGAAAGAUUUAUCGCCUUUAGAGCGGCCCGCGUCUGAUUAGCUAGUUGGUGAGGUAAAGGCUCACCAAGGCGACGAUCAGUAGCUGGUCUGAGAGGAUGAUAAGCCACAUUGGGACUGAGACACGGCCCAAACUCCUACGGGAGGCAGCAGUGGGGAAUCUUGCGCAAUGGGCGAAAGCCUGACGCAGCCAUGCCGCGUGAAUGAUGAAGGUCUUAGGAUUGUAAAAUUCUUUCACCGGGGACGAUAAUGACGGUACCCGGAGAAGAAGCCCCGGCUAACUUCGUG
rnacentral:rRNA from 1 species